AGAGAGGAGGAGAGCGAGACGGACGCACCGGAGAGAGGAGGCGGGCAGGGGACACACACAGGAGAGAGGAGGCCGGCAGGGGGGGGGACACAGAAGAGAGGAGGCCGGCAGGAGAGAGGAGGCGGGCAGGGGGGGGGGACACACAGGAGAGAGGAGGCGGGCAGGGGAUACACAGAAAGGAGGAGGCCGGCAGGAGAGAGGAGGCGGGGGACACACAGGAGAGAGGAGGCGGGCAGGGGGGGGGGGCACACAGGAGAGGGGAGGCGGGCAGGGGGGACACACACAGGAGAGAGGAGGCAGGCAGGACGGACACACGGGAGUGGGAAAGCGGGCAGGGGACACAAACAGGAGAGGGAAAGCGGGCAGGGGACACAAACAGGAGAGGGAAAGCGGGCAGGGGACACAAACAGGAGAGGGAAAGCGGGCAGGAGGGACACACGGGAGAGAGGAGGAGAGAGAGACGAGCAAAGCAAGACGGACGCACAGGAGAGACGAGGAAAGCGAGACGGACGCACAGGAGAGACGAGGAAAGCGAGACGGACGCACAGGAGAGACGAGGAAAGCGAGACGGACGCACAGGAGAGACGAGGAAAGCGAGACGGACGCACAGGAGAGACGAGGAAAGCGAGACGGACGCACAGAAGAGACGAGGAAAGCGAGACGGACGCACAGGAGAGACGAGGAAAGCGAGACGAA